AGAGUUUGAUCAUGGCUCAGGAUGAACGCUGGCGGCGUGCCUAACACAUGCAAGUCGAACGCUCCGCAAGGGGAGUGGCGCACGGGUGAGUAACACGUAGCUAACCUGCCCCGGAGAGGGGGAUAACGGCGCGAAAGCGCUGCUAAGACCGCGUACGCUCGGUUUCUGUAGAGGGAGCCGAGGAAAAGAGCAAUCUGCUCCGGGAGGGGGCUGCGACCCAUCAGGUAGAUGGUGAGGUAACGGCUUACCAUGCCGACGACGGGUAGGGGACCUGAGAGGGUGACCCCCCACACUGGGACUGAGACACGGCCCAGACUCCUACGGGAGGCAGCAGUGAGGGAUCUUGCACAAUGGGGGCAACCCUGAUGCAGCGACGCCGCGUGGGUGAUGACGGUCUUCGGAUUGUAAAACCCUUUUCUGUGUGACGAGGAAGGACGGUAGCACAGGAAGAAGUGUCGGCUAACUACGUGCCAGCAGCCGCGGUAAAACGUAGGACACGAGCGUUAUCCGGAGUUACUGGGCGUAAAGGGCGGGCAGGCGGCCGCGUAAGUCUGGUGUGAAAGCUCCCGGCUCAACCGGGAGAGGACACUGGAGACUGCGGGGCUGGAGGCAGAUAGAGGGGUGUAGAAUUCCGGGUGUAGUGGUGAAAUGCGUAGAGAUCCGGAGGAAUACCAGAAGCGAAGGCGGCACCCUGGGUCUGACCUGACGCUGAGCCGCGACAGCAUGGGGAGCGAACGGGAUUAGAAACCCCGGUAGUCCAUGCCGUAAACGAUGUACACUGGAUGUGCAGCCGCGCAAGCGGGGGCGUGUCCCAGCUAACGCGCUAAGUGUACCGCCUGGGGAGUACGGUCGCAAGGCUAAAACUCAAGGAAUUGACGG
rnacentral:rRNA from 1 species